GCGCGUGUCGCUCGACGCGGGCUCCGAGUCGCGACUGGGCUCAGGCUGGCACGGGCUGGCCAAGGCACCGCAGCCCCACUGCAGCUCUGACGUCAGCGAAGUUUCUCCAGCUCCAGUGUUCCGACUGCACAACAGAGAAGAAACAAGAUGCUGAAGCUCCAGUGGUUUGGUCCUGGGAGUGCUAUAUUUACGGAAAGGGUAAGCACAAGUGGCCCAGGCACCCAAGGAUCACGAUGGCUCUUCAGUUAGCUGUCAGAGCGCACUAGAAAUCCUUCUUGGUACGUGAGCAAGUUGGAUCCAAUUCUUCAUCAAAGGUACUGUGCUCGUGGAGGCUGUCAUAUGCUCCAAGUCAUAUGAAUCGGCAGUCCAAAGGCCAGAGGAAAAGGAUCGACAGGGACAGAAGACAAACCUUCAGAAAUGCUGUGGAGAAAAGGCCACCUUUCUGCCUAACAGGUCUCUCUCUUGCUGAAAGCAGCAGUAUGCAUUUGGUUUUUUAAAAUGAACUCCUGGGCCGUGAGACGGGGAGAAUCGAGUGCUGCGAAUGCGCAACAAUCCGCGAGUUUGAUCCUCAGAGCUACAUGGAAGUACAGCGCUCACAACAAUAAAUUAAAUUAAUAAAAUGAAACUGUAAAAAAUGGAACUCGGGGGAAGGGCAAUGCUUUUUGACGUACUUGAACAAUUCUAAAAGCAAUAUAACCUUUUUCUGAGAGGC